AAGAAGUUCAUUAAAACCCACAGCGGCAGGGCUUUGCUCUACUGUUCUCCACCCUAGUGAAAGAGACAUAUCCAUUAAACCGUGUUCUGAUUGGUCAUUCAUAAGAGAAUAACUUAAGUCCAAGGGCCACCUGUGAAACUUUGCCACAAUUUUCUUCCUGCUACUUUGAAAAUUAUCCUUGUGGAAAAGAAAGAAAGAAAAAGAGAAACUAUUGUUCCCCUAUCAACACAAGUGGGACAGAAGUGGGUGUGACCGUAGGGUGUCAGAUAAUGUACAAUCAUCACUGGUUGAAAGACAAUGGAUGUGGUGGGAGAGCAUUCACCUGGGUGGAAGGAAACAGCCUCUACACCCCUCUAAGCCCCAUUAGGUGGUUGAUAGCCUGGAUAGACACCGUCC
rnacentral:lncRNA from 1 species